CUAUCUGGCGCAGCGUUUACACACCAGCGUCCGCGUUGGGUCGCGGGCGAGCGCACGGCGGGCGGUGCGACCCGAGCACUUAGCCCUUAGUAAGUUUAUUACUUCUCCACCUGCCAUGUGAUCUCCAUGAAUGCAGUGGGCCCUGCUUUAGAAGAAGGGCAAAAGAAGGUCUAGAGUAAGAAUGACAUAAAAUGAAAAAAGCAUCAAUGUGAGUUUCAAAUGUGGCAAGAAAAGAAGGGCUGCUGGUUAUGAUUGCCUGAGUUCAGGAUUUCAUGUUGGAAGGACAGUUAAAUGUAAACUUAUUUUCUUAAUUCCAAGAAGUAUUUCUUCUUGGGAAAUUUUCAAUCAAGGAGUUUGUUGAAAAGAAAUAUGCUUCGUGAGUCAACUGCAGUCUCUUCUCUACAUUAGUCUUAAGACUACUAGCAGAAUAGAAGCAAAUUAAAGUGAAGGCUUAUAUACAGCACAAGAAAACAAAGACAUGGAGUUUUGAGGAGUAAAGGUAGCAUGGUGUCGGCCAUGGGU
rnacentral:lncRNA from 1 species